AACCAUAGAAACCUGCGGAGUACCUGCGGAGGGAUCAUUACCGAGUUUACAACUCCCAAACCCCUGUGAACAUACCUAUACGUUGCCUCGGCGGAUCAGCCCGCGCCCUGUAAAAAGGGACGGCCCGCCCGAGGACCCUAAACUCUGUUUUUAGUGGAACUUCUGAGUAAAACAAACAAAUAAAUCAAAACUUUCAACAAUGGAUCU
rnacentral:misc_RNA from 1 species